rnacentral:snRNA from 1 species
GUGCUCGCUUAGGCAGCACAUAUUCUAAAAUUAGAACGAUACAGAGAAGACUAGCAUGGCCCCUGCGCAAGGAUGACACGCAAAUCCAUGAGCGUUCCAUAAAAAAA